UUCUUCUUCUUCUUCUUCUGUUCUCAUGUCAACACGCGCCUUAUAAAUGCUGUUAUCAGAAGUAUCCAUCCAAUAAUUCUUUAGAGACUGAAAAAUUUUUAUUUUUAGCUUUAUCGAUUAUCAAAAUAAUAUACUACUAUGAAGAUAAAAUAUUAGUCAAGUUACCCAGAUAUUUUCCUUUCAGUAAAGGGUCAAAGCUGACUGUAGAGAGUGUGAUCUAUCAUCUGUCUACAACUAACUUGUUUUCAUUGCAUUUUUGUUCUUUCCCUUGGAUCAAUAAGCAAGGAAAAAAUUAAGAAAAAAAAUAAAUAAAAUGAAAGUGGAAGAACAGUAGAAGGCCUCUUUGAGAACAUAAAAGACAAUGAAUUGAAUUGUAUAUCUUGUGGUUAUGGUCAUGAAUGAAUACGAGGGAAUAAUUACUUAUAGCUACUUCAUAAGUGAAAGUGACACAAUUUAGUUUCUCUCAGAAAGUUCAACCAAACUGAUUAAUCAAUAUUGCUGGCGACAUGAAUUCUAAUGUCAAGAAGUAGAGCUCAAAUUGGAUGUAUAAUUAGUAGCUAAAAGAAAAUUAGAUAAAUGGUUAUUAUACAACACAGUCAAGACAUCAUAAUUUAUCCUUCUUUUUCCUACUUAAAUUUUAGGGCAUGUAUUUGAAUGUUCAUGGUAUUUUACAAAUCCUUUAUUAUAUUCUCAAUUAUUUUUGUUAUUUCGAUAGCUUCCUCGACUGUUAAAGAAAG
rnacentral:misc_RNA from 1 species